rnacentral:pre_miRNA from 1 species
UAAUGGCAUUUAGCUCUACUUAGGAAUAGCCAGCUGGAUUUAUCUGGAUCCCAGUGUUGAUAUUCAUUUUGGGACAUGAAAGAUUGAUGAUGCUUCGGUCCGUGAUAUCGAAUAUGGGAUAAUUCGAAUCAUUUCAGUGAGAUCCUAAAUAAAGUAUGUAUUUU